rfam:Heligmosomoides polygyrus genome assembly, scaffold: HPBE_scaffold0002449
GCGCCGGUGGGGUAAAGUCGUAGAGCAUUCCCGCCCGGUCAGAGGGAGGUGCGGGUUCGAGUCCCGCCUGGCGCU